UAGACAUAAGUAUUACAGACUUCAGGGUGAAAAACUAGAGCGUGAUUAUUGUUCUCAUGAUUUGAAAAUAGAUGGGAGGUUUUAUGUUGAUGUAAGGGAAUUACUUUAUCUUUAUAACUGCUUUACAUUUAGUGGAGAUAAGAUACUCUUUGUCAGACAAAGAAAUGAUUUAGUAUUGGUAUCAGCUAAAGGGUUAUUGCUGAUGUUAAAUUAUUACCACGUUUAUGAUUAUUGGUAGGAUUUUUCCAUAAGGUUAGAUAAUAGUAUUAUAGAACCAGAAGAAUUUAAAAAAAGAGCUGAUAACUCUAGUUCUCUUAGAUAUUAUCAUCCAUAUAAGGAAGUAUUAAGGAUUUAUCAUAAUCAACCUAUUAAUAAGUACCAGAUUGGUCUAGUGGAUCUAGAAGGUAAGUCUGUAUUAGACUUUAAUAUGAAAAUUGUUAGUGAUAGUUUAGUUAUAUUAUAUAAAAAUGAUACUUUUGUGAUAGUAGAGAAUUGGAAUAAUUACGAACCGGCAAGAGAAAUGAUGUUUGCUUUUAAUGAAAUUAUAGUUUCUAAUGCAAAGUGUUUAGUUUCCCAUUGUGAUCCAAAAGAUAUUAUAAAAGAUUUUCAAAAAGAGAAGAGGAAAGUAGGCGUGAAUAUUGAGAAAUAUUCAAAAAAGCUCAAGGAAGAAAAAACUCUACAACGCAAACGUCGUCAUCACCAUGGAGAUCACAAUAAUCUUCAUCAGAAUCACUUAUCACGCAUACCUCUUGCU